rnacentral:rRNA from 1 species
AACGGCCGCGGUAUUUUGACCGUGCAAAGGUAGCGCAAUCAAUUGUCUUUUAAAUGAAGGCCUGUAUGAAUGGCACAACGAGGGCUUAACUGUCUCCUUUUUCCAGUCAAUGAAAUUGAUCUUCCCGUGCAGAAGCGGGAAUUCUAACAUAAGACGAGAAGACCCUAUGGAGCUUAUAAACACAAGAACAGAUCAUGUCACUUACCCUAGUUAUUGCUAGAAGAUAAACUAAAUGACUUCCUGCUCUCAUGUUUUUGGUUGGGGCGACCAUGGAGUAAAAUUAAACCUCCACGUAGAACGAAAAUAUAUUAUUUUCCAAUUCAAGAAAAACAACUCUAAAAACCAGAAUCUCUGACUUUUAUUGAUCCGGCAAAGCCGAUUAACGAACCGAGUUACCCUAGGGAUACAGCGCAAUCCUCUUUUAGAGUUCCUAUCGACAAGAGGGUUUACGACCUCGAUGUUGGACCAGGACAUCCUAAU